rnacentral:lncRNA from 1 species
UCUUUAAAUAUUGAUGGCGAGCAUGCCUUUUAUUUGGCACAGAUGAAGCGACGAACGCUACCGCGCGUGGGAUAUAAUAAAUGAUCUUGUGAGCAAAUUUAAUGAAUUCAUAGCAUUCCAUCACGACGCACAUUUAGCCGGCCAGAGUAUAGCAUCAGAGUGACAUGACUUUGAUGAGGCUUGUCACGAUGGCAUGAUGGCCAUGUUUGAUGCUCAGCU